rnacentral:rRNA from 1 species
GGCGAACGCUGGCGGCGUGCUUAACACAUGCAAGUCGAACGAAGAGCGAUGGAAGCUUGCUUCUAUCAAUCUUAGUGGCGAACGGGUGAGUAACGCGUAAUCAACCUGCCCUUCAGAGGGGGACAACAGUUGGAAACGACUGCUAAUACCGCAUACGAUCUAAUCUCAGCAUCGAGGAUAGAUGAAAGGUGGCCUCUACAUGUAAGCUAUCACUGAAGGAGGGGAUUGCGUCUGAUUAGCUAGUUGGAGGGGUAACGGCCCACCAAGGCGAUGAUCAGUAGCCGGUCUGAGAGGAUGAACGGCCACAUUGGGACUGAGACACGGCCCAGACUCCUACGGGAGGCAGCAGUGGGGAAUCUUCCGCAAUGGACGAAAGUCUGACGGAGCAACGCCGCGUGAGUGAUGACGGCCUUCGGGUUGUAAAGCUCUGUUAAUCGGGACGAAAGGCCUUCUUGCGAAUAGUGAGAAGGAUUGACGGUACCGGAAUAGAAAGCCACGGCUAACUACGUG